GUAAUUUAUGAGAACUGGGAUGAAGAUGAACCUAAUAACGAUAAAGGAAUUGAACACUGUGUUAUGUUUAAUAGAUCACCCCAAAUGCGCUGGAAUGACUUGUACUGUGAAUAUUUGCUUAAUUGGAUUUGUGAAACUAAAAAAGGUACACUGCUAAAACCUGAACCAAACAACAAAUAUGAAUAUCAAGCUGUGCAAACUGCUGAUGGGUGGAUUAUAUAUGAAGAUAAGCAGUACUAUUUCAGCAGAGAACGUGUCCCUAUGGAAGAAGCACGGAGAAUUUGCCAGAGGAACUUUGCAGAUCUCGUUGUCAUUGAGGAUGAAAGUGAAA
rnacentral:lncRNA from 1 species